rnacentral:lncRNA from 1 species
UUUGAUUAUGCAUAUGGAGAUUUAUCAUUCAACUAUGGAUUUGGGGAUCAUCCGUUUCAAUUCCAGUGAUAUAAACAUUGCAGAUUCAAACAAAAAAUGGAUCCCAAAUAUCGAUUAGUCAUCAAUGACGGAUUGUUUUUUGCGAAUGUUGUGAUAUAAGUUGUUUUCGUAAAUGAUUCAGCAACGAUUUUGGUGAAAGUGAACGGAGAGUCAAGUGUUCAACCUAUUACGGACCAAAAUGAUGAGGCUGUGACCCCCAACUUCUAUCACUCACCACGUGGGACCAAGUAUUGGAUUCCUAAUGUUCCUACACCUUUGAAACCUGCUACCGGAAUGGUGUUUGGGAGAUGGGAAGACGCUGUUACCUUGUACCAAGAUUAU